rnacentral:rRNA from 1 species
GGUGAGGGUGGUUCCCUAUGCCUCGACCAUAGUCCGUGUGUAAACGGGUAUUGUGGAUCGGAGCGGUGUGGGUGUUCCCGGGAGUCGUCACUAGUUAUAAUUAUUAUUUGCAGUCAAACUGAAUCAAUCUCUUUUAUCUCGGCCGGUUAGACCACGGUCGGCGGCGCCGAUGUGGUUACUCCGAGUCCAACUAAAUUGUGCCGCAUUUCGCACUAAUUUCUUUUGUUUGAUUACCCCAACUUGGACUUAGCUCGACACUGUGCGGACGAGUCUUCUUUGAAUUUAAACUUUUUAUGGGGUUGGGUGGUUGAACUUAAGUGGUGUUAACCCUGUGUUUGACCCUAAUCUAUGGGGUGAUACGGGUUAGCGUUUGAAAUUGAAUGUGGUGUAUAGCGGUCCCUUGAUGCUCGUUUCGAAUUUUGGGUUUCCUGAACUGCCAUGGGGUGUAGGAAGAUCUCCUCGGACAGGAUAUUGGCUAUGGGGGGCAAUUUGGAGUGGUGAGAAUCAGAAGUCGGACAUAUGAAGGCAGCGGUCGAAUGGCGCACUCGCUCAUCAUUCGAUUUACAAUGACCAGUUAUGCAGUCCAGUUUCACGUCGUUUAUCUCACCGUUCUCUACCCGAUGUGAGAGAUAAUAUCUUCUAUGCUUUCUGAAAUACUUUGUGUCAGUCUUCCACCUAAAUCAUCAUUCUACUUCUAUCUCAUAAGUAGAAUUAAACCGUGACCCCACACAUGUGUGGCGGGCAGUGGGAGAAGUUGAUUUGAGUUAUCAU